GAAAGACAUGCAGAUCAACAGUUCAUGUACAAAAUAUGAAAUAUUUGAGAAAAAAAUCAAUCAAUGUAUUACAUUGUUACAAGUGAUGAUUCCUCAAACAUUUAAUUAAUACUUCCUCAUGAACCGUCAUUGUUAUCAUCACUAUAAAAUGCAUAAAACAUUUGAAGCAGUAACAUCCUUUUUUAGUCAAAGUUAACCUUAUUCUGUACAAAGAUAUAAAAUCAGAUUUUUCAAAUCUCCUAUAAAAUAACUUGUAGCUUUAUAGAGCCU
rnacentral:misc_RNA from 1 species